UGCCUACGGGGGGCAGCAGUGGGGAAUAUUGCGCAAUGGGGGAAACCCUGACGCAGCAACGCCGCGUGCAGGAAGAAGGUCUUCGGAUUGUAAACUGUUGUCGCAGGGGAAGAAGACAGUGACGGUACCCUGUGAGAAAGUCACGGCUAACUACGUGCCAGCAGCCGCGGUAAUACGUAGGUGACAAGCGUUAUCCGGAUUUACUGGGUGUAAAGGGAGCGUAGACGGCGCGGCAAGUCUGAAGUGAAAGGCAGGGGCUUAACCCCUGAACUGCUUUGGAAACUGCCAUGCUAGAGUGCUGGAGG
rnacentral:rRNA from 1 species